UUCCAGACUCCUACGGGAGGCAGCAGUGGGGAAUAUUGCACAAUGGGGGGAACCCUGAUGCAGCGACGCCGCGUGGGUGAAGGAGCGUUUCGGCGCGUAAAGCCCUAUCGGCAGGGAAGAAGGAGGACGGUACCUGACUAAGAAGCCCCGGCUAACUACGUGCCAGCAGCCGCGGCAAUACGUAGGGGGCCAGCGUUAUCCGGAUUUACUGGGUGUAAAGGGGGCGCAGACGGCAGCGCAAGCCAGGAGUGAAAGCCCGGGGCCCAACCCCGGGACUGCUCUUGGAACUGCGCGGCUGGAGUGCAGGAGGGGCAGGCGGAAUUCCUGGUGUAGCGGUGAAAUGCGUAGAUAUCAGGAGGAACACCGGUGGCGAAGGCGGCCUGCUGGACUGCGACUGACGUUGAGGCCCGAAAGCGUGGGGAGCAAACAGGAUUAGAUACCCGUGUAG
rnacentral:rRNA from 1 species